rnacentral:rRNA from 1 species
AACGUGAGGGGCGAACGUUGUCCGGAAUCACUGGGCGUAAAGGGUGCGCAGGCGGUGGAGAAAGUCGGGUGUGAAAGCCUCAGGCUCAACCUGAGGGGGACGCCCGAUACUUCUCCACUUGAGGAAGGGAGAGGGAGGUGGAAUUCCCGGUGUAGCGGUGAAAUGCGCAGAUAUCGGGAGGAACACCAGUGGCGAAGGCGGCCUCCUAUCCCUUUCCUGACGCUCAGGUACGAAAGCUAGGGGAGCGAACCGG